rnacentral:lncRNA from 10 species
AGUUAUCCUUUGUUCAGAAGUUCUUUGCCAUUAUCCACAGGCAGAAAAUCUGGUAAUUAAACUGGGGGUAUGACUACAAGAUUUUCUUAGACCAGUAAGGAAAUAACAAAUCUCAAUGUGCCUGGUGUGUUGUCGACACUCAAGAUACUGGUUAGUCUGCAUCUCACGAGUUGACAGGGGGCAUCGAGGCUGUCUUGUUAGGGGGAGUUUGCAGCCUUCUGCAUCUGGGAACAGUGUGUGUCUCUAAAGCCAACUGGGGAGAGAGCUUCUGAGGACAAAUGGUCCUGAGGCAGUUUCUGGAAAACCCAUUAUUGAAGCCAUAGGCUGUGGUCUAAGUACGCAUAGCCAGUGGGAUAAUGUUAUAUUGCAGAGUUAUUUGAGUAGUUCAAUUUAAGGAAGGUGCUUUGUUUAGAAGUUAUUAUAAGUUAAAUAAGGAAGUAACCUUCAGUUUGCAACUAAAAAUAGAAACUGCCACCACCAUUUGAGUGUCAGUUGCAGCAGAAAAGAAGAAGGUGUAAAACCACAGACCCAGCCUAGAUUCUUAACAAAAACCAGUGGUUCUAAACUCUUGUCAGAUCUAUUACCCUUUGCAUAACUAAUAUUUUAUAAUACCUCUUUUAUAAUGCUGAGGUGAAAUUCAUAGAUAAUUCACACAAUUUCAAAGAAAAUAUAAUGAUCCAAUAUAAAUGACAAAGGAAAAAUACGAAUACAUUUCCAUAUAUAAGUGCUGGCUGGGCAUGGUGGCUCGCACCUGUAAUCCCGGCACUUUGGGAGGCUGAGGCGGGCAGAACACUUGAGGUCAGGAGUUUAGGAUGAGCCUGGCCAACAUGGAGAAACCCGUCUCUACAGAAAAUUUUUAAAACGUUAACUGGGGCGGGGCGCAGUGGCUUACACCUGUAAUCACAGCACUUUGGGAGGCUGAGGCAAGUGGAUCACUCGCCAUCCUGGCCAACAUGGUGAAACCCCAUCUCUACUAAAAAUACGAAAUUAGUACAAGAUAGAAAAAUUAGUCAGCUGUGGUGGCACCCAC